ensembl:lncRNA
UGGUGAUUCCGAGUUCCUCGCUCCCCCGGCAUUCCCGCUUCCCGCUUCCCUUCAGUCUUACAGCAGCGCUGGUGGCGCGUGCAUUGAGGCAAAUUGGCGCUGAAGAUCGCGUAAAGUGAUCGCUACAUUUAGCCGGUGGCUGAAUGAUGUGUGUGUCGAGCCGCGUUACCUGUGAUAGUAGGGAGUUAAGUCUUGCCGAAGACGCUACAUGAGACGCCGCUGCUGUUUUGCUUAGUGGGUUGUUUUUGCUUCAGCAAUUGUUUUGCUUUACCUGGUUUUUGUUUAACAGUCAUGUUCUCCGUUUGAUUUAUUGUUUUGCUUCAUGGUUUUAUGUAUUUUGUUUUACUUUAGUUUUGGGUGUAUGUCUGGCUUUGUUUUGUAACCACAUAUAGUAAGAGAGUGAGUAGUAAAACUAGUGUUUCCUAGCCUCAAAUCUGUUUGAGAUUUGUUGUUCCACCUAACCACUUUACUACUGAGAGGAUGUAUGUUAACCCUUACUGUCUCCAUGCUAUAGUGGCCAUAAUUGUCAUUUGUACUGUUUACCAUAAUUCUGGUUCUGCUUGGGUGUUGUCAACUGUCUCCAUUUCUUGUGGUGGUGUCAGUGGGCCUGGGUGUUAAAAUAGCUACCAUACCACAGUGUCUGUAAUAUUUGUCUUUCUGUGUCUUGUUUAGUGUCUGUGUAAUUUUGGGUUAACUGGUGUCGUCUUUCUCUCCAGGAGCUAGUGAGUCUUGGUGGGACAGGGGUGGCUAGCUGCAUUUAUUCAGGAGUGUGCUUCACAGCAUGCUCAGUGUGCCAACACAACAACUUCCUUAUGGUAGGGUUUGGAUGACUUCCCGAGUUGUAGCUGGCCUGCCUUGUCCCUGCCAAGCCUGGGCCUGGAGAAGUUCUUAGUUUUAAAAUAAUUACUGUGCUUCAUGUGAAAGCAAUUUUCUAUUUUCAUGUUAAGUUUUAAAUGAUGCUUACGUGUCAUAAUAAAAUACAAACUUCUAUACUUGUA